rnacentral:rRNA from 1 species
GACGAACGCUGGCGGCGUGCUUAACACAUGCAAGUCGAACGGAAAGGCCCUGCUUUUGUGGGGUGCUCGAGUGGCGAACGGGUGAGUAACACGUGAGUAACCUGCCCUUGACUUUGGGAUAACUUCAGGAAACUGGGGCUAAUACCGGAUAGGAGCUCCUGCUGCAUGGUGGGGGUUGGAAAGUUUCGGCGGUUGGGGAUGGACUCGCGGCUUAUCAGCUUGUUGGUGGGGUAGUGGCUUACCAAGGCUUUGACGGGUAGCCGGCCUGAGAGGGUGACCGGCCACAUUGGGACGGAGAUACGGCCCAGACUCCUACGGGAGGCAGCAGUGGGGAAUAUUGCACAAUGGGCGGAAGCCGGAUGCAGAAACGCCGCGUGCGGGAUGACGGCCUUCGGGUUGUAAACCGCUUUCGCCUGUGACGAAGCGUGAGUGACGGUAAUGGGUAAAGAAGCACCGGCUAACUACGU